UUCUUCUUCUUCUUAUGA
rnacentral:snRNA from 1 species